CUGGGUGUGGUGCAAUGGUAGCACGGCUGCUUGUGAGGCAGUAGGCAUGGGUUCGAUCCCCAUCAUCCGAC
rnacentral:tRNA from 1 species